rnacentral:rRNA from 1 species
AACCUCCGCAAUGUGAGAAAUCGCGACGGGGGGAUCCCAAGUGCCAUUCUUAACGGGAUGGCUUUUCAUUAGUGUAAAAAGCUUUUAGAAUAAGAGCUGGGCAAGACCGGUGCCAGCCGCCGCGGUAACACCGGCAGCUCGAGUGGUAGCUGUUUUUAUUGGGCCUAAAGCGUUCGUAGCCGGUUUGAUAAGUCUUUGGUGAAAGCUUGUAGCUUAACUAUAAGAAUUGCUGGAGAUACUAUCAGACUUGAAGUCGGGAGAGGUUAGAGGUACUACCGGGGUAGGGUGAAAUCCUAUAAUCCUGGGAGGACCACCUGUGGCGAAGGCGUCUAACUGGAACGAUCUUGACGGUGAGUAACGAAAGCCAGGGCGCGAACCGGAUUAGAUACCCGGGUAGUCCUGGCCGUAAACGAUGUGGACUUGGUGUUGGAAUGGCUUUGAGUUGUUCCGGUGCCGAAGGGAAGCUGUUAAGUCCACCGCCUGGGAAGUACGGUCGCAAGACUGAAACUUAAAGGAAUU